GGAGUAAAGUUAAUACCUUUGCUCAUUGACGUUACCCGCAGAAGAAGCACCGGCUAACUCCGUGCCAGCAGCCGCGGUAAUACGGAGGGUGCAAGCGUUAAUCGGAAUUACUGGGCGUAAAGCGCACGCAGGCGGUUUGUUAAGUCAGAUGUGAAAUCCCCGGGCUCAACCUGGGAACUGCAUCUGAUACUGGCAAGCUUGAGUCUCGUAGAGGGGGGUAGAAUUCCAGGUGUAGCGGUGAAAUGCGUAGAGAUCUGGAGGAAUAUCGGUGGCGAAGGCGGCCCCC
rnacentral:rRNA from 1 species